UGCAUCUGAAGCCUGACGAGGAUGAGAACCUCCGGAGGGCAAGAGGUUCGACCCGAGCGAAGCGAGAGAACGUUGCGUCAGCAACGGCCCGCAGGGCGAGCCAUCCUCUAUCACCGGCAG
rnacentral:sRNA from 1 species